CUGGUCCUGAUUCAAGGCCGGUAGCUUUCUGAUGCUGUUGAUUUCAAGCAGGAGCCUAAAGAGAUGUCUUUCUAUGGUCUGUUGGCCAUUUCAGAACUUGGGCAGUAAAAUGGUCAAUUCAUUAGAAAAAUAGCCCA
ensembl:snoRNA